rnacentral:rRNA from 1 species
CCUAACACAUGCAAGUCGAACGGUAACAGGAAGAAGCUUGCUUCUUUGCUGACGAGUGGCGGACGGGUGAGUAAUGUCUGGGAAACUGCCUGAUGGAGGGGGAUAACUACUGGAAACGGUAGCUAAUACCGCAUAACGUCGCAAGACCAAAGAGGGGGACCUUCGGGCCUCUUGCCAUCGGAUGUGCCCAGAUGGGAUUAGCUAGUAGGUGGGGUAACGGCUCACCUAGGCGACGAUCCCUAGCUGGUCUGAGAGGAUGACCAGCCACACUGGAACUGAGACACGGUCCAGACUCCUACGGGAGGCAGCAGUGGGGAAUAUUGCACAAUGGGCGCAAGCCUGAUGCAGCCAUGCCGCGUGUAUGAAGAAGGCCUUCGGGUUGU